GUCAGAAGUGAAAUCCAAUAGCUCAACUAUUGAACUGCUUUUGAAACUGAUUACCUAGAAUAUGGGAGGGGUAGAUGGAAUUUCUGGUGUANGGGUAAAAUCCGUAGAGAUCAGAAGGAAUACCGAUUGCGAAGGCGAUCUACUGGAACAUUAUUGACGCUGAGACGCGAAAGCGUGGGGAGCAAACAGGAUUAGAUACCCUGGUAGUCCACGCCCUAAACGAUGUACACUAGUUGUUGUGAGGCUCGACCUUGCAGUAAUGCAGUUAACACAUUAAGUGUACCGCCUGGGGAGUACGGUCGCAAGAUUAAAACUCAAAGGAAUAGACGGGGACCCGCACAAGCGGUGGAGCAUGUGGUUUAAUUCGACGAUACACGAAGAACCUUACCUGGACUUGACAUAGUAAGAACUUUCUAGAGAUAGAUUGGUGUCUGCUUGCAGAAACUUAUAUACAGGUGCUGCACGGCUGUCGUCAGCUCGUGUCGUGAGAUGUUGGGUUAAGUCCCGCAAGGGAGCGCAACCCUCGUCAUUAGUUGCUAACAGUUCGGUUGAGAACUCUAAUGAGACGUGCUAUAGGCAAGUAGGAGGAAGGUGAGGAAGACUGUCAAGUCUAUCAUGGCCCUUACGUCCAGGGAUACACACGUGAUACAAUGGGGUAUACAAAGAGCCGCAAUACGGUGACGUGGAGCAAAUCUCAAAAAUAUCUCCCAGUUCGGAUUGUAGUCUGCAACUCGACUACAUGAAGUUGGAAU
rnacentral:rRNA from 1 species